rnacentral:rRNA from 1 species
AGUUUGAUCAUGGCUCUAGGACGGAACCAUUAAGGGACGCGCUUACAUGCAAGUCGAACGGCAGCACGGACUUCUGGUCUGGUGGCGAGUAAAGUGAACGGGUGAGUAAUGUAUCGAACCAGCCUAGUAGUGGGGAUAACUACGCGAAAGCGUAGCUAAUACCGCAUACGCCCUUCGGGGAAAGCGGGGGGACCCGGCCUCGCACUAUUAGAGCGGCCGAUAUCGGAUUAGCUAGGCUGGUGGGGUAACGGCUCACCAAGGCGACGAUCCGUAGCUAAUGAGGACGACCACUACCUGACUGGAGAGGACGUCCCAGAUUCUACGGAGGCAGCAGUGUAACCUUGACAAUGGGGAAUCCCUGAUCCAGCCAUCCCGCGGUAAAGAUGAAGGCCUGGGUUGUAAAAGCACUUUUGGCAGGGCAGAACGGUGAUGGAUAUUGAAUACCCCGCAACUGACGGUACCUGCAGAAUAAGGCACCUGGCUAACCACGUGCCAGCAGCCGCGUGGUGUUACUGCAGAGGCGCAAGGCGCGACCGAAUUAUUAUUGGCAGCGCGCGCGAAUGGAAAAAGAAAGACGAAAUCCCAGAGCUUAACUUUAACCCGUACUUUAACUACUGAGCUGAGUGGUGUCAGGAGGAGGUGGAAUUCCGCGUGUAGCAGUGAAAUGCGUAGAUACGCGGAGGAUCACCGAUGCCGGAAGGCAGCCUCCCUGGGAUGAAUAAUGCGACGCUCAUACCAGCGUGGGGAGAUGAAACAGGAUUAGAUACCCCAACCACGCCCUAAACGAUGUCAACCUGAGCUGUUGUAGCUUUCGCCUGGUAGCGCAGCUAACGCGUGAAGUUGACCGCCUGGGAGUACGGUCGCAAGAUUAAAACUCAAAGGAAUUGACGGGGACCCCGCACGGUGGAUGACAGAUUGAACGAUGCAACGCGAAAAACCUACUCACCCUUGACUAUGGUUCAAUCCCAGCUGAGAUUUGGGAGGCCGUGUUAGGAACUGAACCAGGUGCUGCAUGGCUGUCGUCAGCUCGUGUCGUGAGAUGUUGGGUUAAGUCCGCAACGAGCGCAACCCUUGUCAUUAGUUGCUACGAAAGGGCACUCUAAUGAGAUCGCCGGUGACGCAAACCGGAGGAAGGUGGGGAUGACGCUCAAGUCCUCAUAUCUUUAUGCAGGCUUCACACGCCGCUACAACACAACGGGACAGAGGUCGCCAACCCGCUGAGGGGAGCCAAUCCCAGGCAGAAACCCGAUCGUGGUCCAUGGAUCGCAGUUCGCAACUCGACCGGUGAAGUCGGAAUCGCCAGUAAUCGCGGAUCAGCAUGUCGCGCAAUAUUGCCCUGGGUCUUGUACACACCGCCCGUCACACCAUGGGAGUGGGUUUUACCAGAGGUAGUUAGCCUAACCGUAAGGAGGGCGAUUACCACGGUAGGAUUCAUGACUGGGGUGAAGUCGUAACAAGGCAGUAG